AGAAGGGGACAGUAAGGAAGAGGAGAAGGGAAAGGAGGAGAUUAGGGGAGUGGCUCAUACGCAGCAUUGGUCAUUGGCUGAUGGGAGGAGCUGAAGAACCCAAUAGCAUAUGGAGGGGGUAGGGAAUAUGCAAAAGAGCUGAAAUCUCAGGAGCUGACUGAGGGAUGCAGUCUGUCUGGUGCAAAGGGGUUUGGCUUCCUUAGAUACCGCCCUGUUCCCUUAAAAGGACAAAGGAUGCAGUUUAUUACCUUUAAGCUUUAAAUUGAUAGGGUGCACAGAACUAUUGGGAGCAUAAAGACACAAGAAAUACUCUGCUGAAUAAAAUAAUCAGGCAAUAAUCCUGAAACCGACUGUAGUUCAGAGAUUUAUCAUGUUAUAUUCUAUUGGAUCGUGCCUCAUGAGGCCCCAGUUUAUUGCAUUUUAACUGUAAAAAGGGAAAUUGCUGAGUAUUAUUAUGACAGCAGGGAAAUAAGAAGGAGCGGGGGAAGGCACAGAGACGGGGAAUCCUGUUUGUUCUGGUAUGGAUGAUACAGUUAUUUGGGUGGAGUCGGGUGGUUGAGGGGGUAUGGGGGUUGGGAUCAGGGCACUUGAUGAUUCUAUUGGAGAAAUAUAGGCUGUGUGUCGAAGGAGGAAAUGGAGAUUUUCAUCUGUAAGUGCAAGAAAGGUGUAUUUGAAGAACAAAGCAAUUAGCUCCCUCUGAAGGUUUAUGUGUAGGGGAGUGGGGGAUGGGUCAAUGCUCUAUAAAGCCUAAUGAGAAGGAGCAUGACAGAGAAAGGGAUGAAUGAAGAAAAAAAAAAGGUAGCAAUGUAUUGUAACGUGGAUGCACUGUGUGAGGCUACUGAGGUGGUGCAGGCGGUGGGGAGUUUGUUGGGGGUGGGGCUUGGGUUGAGAGGCAAACGCAGUCGUCUCUGGGUUUCAUUCUGGAACGCGGAGUUGCCAUGGAGACUGCAUCCAUCGUAGUUUAGUCAAGAUGGCUGUUGCAGUCUGGCAGCAGCAGUGAGCAGGUCACACAAUACUGAAGCUCUCACUGCCAAGACUGAGACAGUCAACAUAGCUCAUAACACGGUUUGUAACGUAUUGAAGAUAGAAGAAUCCAAUUUUCCAACUAUUUCAUUAACAUUUGUACAUUAUAACAAAUAUAACAUUAUCACAGUAUGUCAAAUUUGCUAUUUAAUAGGUUAACCCUUAUUGGAAAAAAAAUCUUCAUGGCUGUCCUUAGCAACUGACAACUGCCAGAUCCUGCAAUUACCUGAUAAUAUAAACCUAGAUAACACUACAAUAAAAUCAUAGACAGCAUGUGUUACAGCAGGUGUAUCAUGUUUCUUUCAAAUGAUGUAACAAUACAAAUACUAAUAAUGGCCGGGGACCUUUUGAUUGUCAGUAUCACAUUGCAAACAUUGUAGAGCUGUAUGAAUAUGUUGUUGAUUUUCUAUUUGUGAACAUAAAUGUGUAAUACAAAGAUGUAAAUACUCUCAGUUGGAGAGUAAAGUUACCCUGAUCUCUUACCUUAAGUGAUUAGAACAAAACUAAAUAGAAGGUAAUUUUUAUUACCUCAUCGUUACACUUCAGUCGGACAGCUGGACACAGUCUUAAAAAGGUAAUUAUUGUAACCCUGGUAUCAACUGCUAGUAGUUGAACUUAGAUUUUGAAAUCCUAGAUGUAUUGGCACAAUCUGUGGCCUCACUGACCCCUUGUAUCUGCUCCUUGCUAGUGGAGACAUCAGGUAUUGGCCCUUCAACCACAGAGAUCUCUUCUCAAGUUAAUUUGAGAUCAGCACCCUUCACUUCGCCACUGACAGUCCAUGGUUCAGCUCUGCUCAGAUACAGUCUGCCUUUGUAACACUGACCCAUUUAAGCUCAUAACAAUGGCUGAAUUGAGUAAGACCCUGAAAGCAUCCUCAACCUUCUGCAUGUUUGAUGUGAUUCUGUGAUGACAACAGAGGAGGAAAACAAAGAU